GACGAACGCUGGCGGCGUGCCUAACACAUGCAAGUCGAACGAGAUCCAUGGGAGCUUGCUCCCGGAAGAUCUAGUGGCGAACGGGUGAGUAACACGUGAGAAACCUGCCCUGGAGUGGGGAAUAACUCGGGGAAACUCGAGCUAAUACCGCAUACCCUCGGAUGGUCGCAUGGCCGUCCGAGGAAAGAUUUAUCGCUCUAGGAGGGUCUCGCGGCCUAUCAGCUAGUUGGUGGGGUAACGGCCUACCAAGGCAACGACGGGUAGCUGGUUUGAGAGAACGAUCAGCCACACUGGGACUGAGACACGGCCCAGACUCCUACGGGAGGCAGCAGUGGGGAAUCUUGCGCAAUGGGCGAAAGCCUGACGCAGCAACGCCGCGUGCGGGAUGACGGCCUUCGUGGUUGU
rnacentral:rRNA from 1 species